GUGCACUAAGACAGUGACGCACUGACUUCUUUUCUCCGACUGGGAAGUAGGUGAUGCGAUAAGUGAACUUUUCAAUCAAUGAUAGAUCAAUGAUUCAUUAGCAAACUCCGCCGUUUUGUUUAUUAGAAAAUGGCUACCAAAAAGAAAUUUCAAGACGAACACUGGUCUAUAAAAGACUUAAAAGAUUUAAAAGAGGUUUUGAACACUGUUCCUAUUGAUGAUAUACCCAAGAUCCAGAAAAAACUUCCAUUUAAAACAGAAUCACAGAUUAAAGAUUUAAUAACAAAAUGUCGAACGUAUGAAUUUAGAGAAAAACUUCCCAGCUUAGAAGCCCCCAUUGAGAGCUGGACAGGUUUAGCAGCAAGAUUGGUGUACCAUGAUGCUAUAGAUCACUCGGAAAAUCUCUCAAGGGCCAUGUCUUUAAUUAGUGAGUAUGAAGAUAGAACACCAGUAGAUUGUGAGUUAAAGGUUGAUUAUAAACGGAUAUAUAGAUACCUAGCAGAUAUAUUACUAAAUAAGGCAUCAGUUACAACAUUACCAGCUUUAGAAUGUACAGUUAUAUUAGAUUUAAUGCAUAGUUUAGCAGAUGUUUUAAAAGAGAAGAAUACAGAAAUACAUGAGAAGAUAAUACAAUGGAAAUAUAAAUUAUUAACUUGUAAAAUAGAUUUAUAUAAUAAACAACAUCAAACAGAUCAGUUUAGAAAAGCUCUAUUUAAUGAUUUCUCAGAUUUACUGAACCCUGAAAAGACACCAGAGAAUCCAAAGUCCAAAACUGGACAUGGAAAAAAACGAAAACGCGGUGCAACUUUGGAUAUGAACAGCCUUGCCAAGAUUUGUAAAGCACAGGAUAAUUCAGAGGAAUCUGUUAAAGAUCCAACAUCAAAGAAUCGACAUCAGCAAUCAUUAGUCAAACCCAAACUAUUUACAAUUAAUCCAUUGUGUAUUCCAGUAGCGCUCGUUAAAUUAAAGGACUUAAAAUAGUUGAUAAGUGAUUUGAAGCGUAAAUAUGUUCAUCAAUGCGGAAGUCAUCUAUAAUUGAACUUUAACCUUUUAGAAAUCAUGUUGAUGUCUAAGUGUAUGUGUAUAAGUGUGUCAAUUUGGAUUUUCCUGUGAUCCAAUCAUUUCCUUUGUUAGGCCAUAUAAGAAAAUAUUAUGGUUCUCAGAUAAUCGUCACUUAAAAAGGGACGCAUGACCCAUUUUUAUUUCAAAUGAUAAAAACAUUCUAUUUAGUUGCGGGGGUGGUGGUGGGGGGGGGGGGGGCGAAUGGUUAGUGCGUGCACGUUGUAUCGUAAGGUUUGUCAUGAAGUCAACUGGCGUAGUUUCGAUUCCCCAGUUGUACGUGACAAGGAGUUGGGUCGCCUGUCCAACCUUAUGAGUUUUCUCUGGGUCCUCCGGUUUCCUCUCGCUGCUAAAGACCCCUAAGCACAAGUGAAUUAUUGAAAUAAAAUUGAACCAUAUGUUUGUCCCAAAAUGACCUAGUUUGUGUUGAGUGGACAUUAAACCCCAUCUGUGUGUGUCUCUCUCUCCCCGUGAAAUUUAGCCCAGUAGUGAUCUGUCGACAAAUUAAAAACACAAAAAAAAUAAAAACCUCCCCCCCCCCCCACAUCAGAUUAUUGGAACAGAUUGUCUGAGAACGAGAAUAUCAUUUUGUUUGGCCUUAUUGUUAAGAUACAUGUAUUGUUAUGUUCAUACCAGAAAUAUUAACAAUAAUUUUGCAGAGAUUUUAAACACUGUUAACGCUGAACCACUAUCGACCCAUGGUGUUAGCAUUGUCGUUUAUAGGUAACGGUAUACGGAAUAGCGGUAGCUGAAAUGGUCACCAUCUUUAUGGUUAGUGCGUGCACGUUGUAUCGUAAGGUUUGUCAUGAAGUCAACUGGCGUGGUUUCGAUUCCCCAGUUGUACGUGACAAGGAGUUGGGUCGCCUGUCCAACCUUAUGAGUUUUCUCUGGGUCCUCCGGUUUCCUCUCGCUGCUAAAGACCCCUAAGCACAAGUGAAUUAUUGAAAUAAAAUUGAACCAUAUGUUUGUCCCAAAAUGACCUAGUUUGUGUUGAGUGGACAUUAAACCCCAUCUGUGUGUGUGUCUCUCUCCCCGUGAAAUUUAGCCCAGUAGUGAUCUGUCGACAAAUUAAAAACACAAAAAUAAAUAAAAACCUCCCUCCCACAUCAGAUUAUUGGAACAGAUUGUCUGAGAACGAGAAUAUCAUUUUGUUUGGCCUUAUUGUUAAGAUACAUGUAUUGUUAUGUUCAUACCAGAAAUAUUAACAAUAAUUUUGCAGAGAUUUUAAACACUGUUAACGCUGAACCACUAUCGUUUAUAGGUAACAGUAUAUGGAAUAGCGGUAGCUGAAAUGGUCGCCAUCUUUAUUGCACGAAAAAUGUCAACAUCAUCAACUACAGACUUCAAUGUUGAC